AAUAGAUACCCGGGUAGUCCACGCCGUAAACGAUGGAUACUAGCUGUUUGAGCGCAAGUUUGAGUGGCUAAGCGAAAGUGAUAAGUAUCCCACCUGGGGAGUACGGGCGCAAGCCUGAAGCUCAAAGGAAUUGACGGGGGGCCCGCACAAGCGGUGGAGCAUGUGGUUUAAUUCGAUGAUACGCGAGGAACCUUACCAGGGCUUAAAUGUAGAUUGACGUAUUUGGAAACAGAUAUUUCUUCGGACAAUUUACAAGGUGCUGCAUGGUUGUCGUCAGCUCGUGCCGUGAGGUGUCAGGUUAAGUCCUAUAACGAGCGCAACCCCUGUUGUUAGUUGCCAGCGAGUAAUGUCGGGAACUCUAGCAAGAUUGCCAGUGUAAACUGUGAGGAAGGUGGGGAUGACGUCAAAUCAUCACGGCCCUUACGUCCUGGGCCACACACGUGCUACAAUGGCCGGUACAGAGAGCAGCCACUUAGCGAUAAGGAGCGAAUCUAUAAAGCCGGUCACAGUUCGGAUCGGAGU
rnacentral:rRNA from 1 species